rnacentral:lncRNA from 1 species
ACAACCCUAAAACCAAAGGUUAGUACGGACUCUCUUUAGGGAAAGUAUAAGAAUUCCCCAACAUAGUUACCAGCUGUCGCGGCUGGAAAAUUACAGAGUCGCCACCAUCCUUUAUUCGUUCCUAAGAAACAUGAAAAUAAUGAGAAUACUUGAUAACUAAGGGUGAGAUGCUAGAUUUGGGAGUCAGAUAAGUAAGGGGAAGGUACUAG